AUCUUUUUAGUAUAAACUCAUUAUAAGUGACUUCCAAUCACUCGAUCCAGGUUAAACUCCGGGGAAAGAUA
rnacentral:tRNA from 7 species